AGAGUUUGAUCCUGGCUCAGAACGAACGCUGGCGGCAUGCCUAACACAUGCAAGUCGAACGAUGCUUUCGGGCAUAGUGGCGCACGGGUGCGUAACGCGUGGGAAUCUGCCCUCAGGUUCGGAAUAACAGCUGGAAACGGCUGCUAAUACCGGAUGAUAUCGCGAGAUCAAAGAUUUAUCGCCUGAGGAUGAGCCCGCGUUGGAUUAGGUAGUUGGUGGGGUAAAGGCCUACCAAGCCGACGAUCCAUAGCUGGUCUGAGAGGAUGAUCAGCCACACUGGGACUGAGACACGGCCCAGACUCCUACGGGAGGCAGCAGUGGGGAAUAUUGGACAAUGGGCGCAAGCCUGAUCCAGCAAUGCCGCGUGAGUGAUGAAGGCCCUAGGGUUGUAAAGCUCUUUUACCCGGGAAGAUAAUGACUGUACCGGGAGAAUAAGCCCCGGCUAACUCCGUG
rnacentral:rRNA from 1 species